GACGAACGCUGGCGGCGUGCUUAACACAUGCAAGUCGAACGGAAAGGCACUGCUUUUGUGGGGUGCUCGAGUGGCGAACGGGUGAGUAACACGUGAGUAACCUGCCCUUGACUUUGGGAUAACUUCAGGAAACUGGGGCUAAUACCGGAUAGGAGCUCCUGCUGCAUGGUGGGGGUUGGAAAGUUUCGGCGGUUGGGGAUGGACUCGCGGCUUAUCAGCUUGUUGGUGGGGUAGUGGCUUACCAAGGCUUUGACGGGUAGCCGGCCUGAGAGGGUGACCGGCCACAUUGGGACUGAGAUACGGCCCAGACUCCUACGGGAGGCAGCAGUGGGGAAUAUUGCACAAUGGGCGGAAGCCCGAUGCAGCAACGCCGCGUGCGGGAUGACGGCCUUCGGGUUGUAAACCGCUUUCGCCUGUGACGAAGCGUGAGUGACGGUAAUGGGUAAAGAAGCACCGGCUAACUACGUG
rnacentral:rRNA from 1 species